ACGCUCGACACCUACGGGAGGCAGCAGUGGGGAAUAUUGCACAAUGGGGGAAACCCUGAUGCAGCGACGCCGCGUGGAGGAAGAAGGUCUUCGGAUUGUAAACUCCUGUUGUUGGGGAAAAAGAGGAUGGUACCCAACAAGGAAGUGACGGCUAACUACGUGCCAGCAGCCGAGGUAAUCUGAGCGGGCUGGCAAGGC
rnacentral:rRNA from 1 species